rnacentral:rRNA from 1 species
UACAGAGGUCCCAAGCGUUGUUCGGAUUCAUUGGGCGUAAAGGGUGUGUAGGUGGCGCCGUAAGUCGGGUGUGAAAUCUCGGGGCUUAACUCCGAAACUGCAUUCGAUACUGCGGUGCUUGAGGACUGGAGAGGAGACUGGAAUUCAUGGUGUAGCAGUGAAAUGCGUAGAGAUCAUGAGGAAGACCAGUGGCGAAGGCGGGUCUCUGGACAGUUCCUGACGCUGAGGCACGAAGGCCAGGGGAGCGAACAGG